UUUUGUAUAAUGGGUCAGCGACUUAUAUUCUGUAGCAAGGUUAACCGAAUAGGGGAGCCGAAGGGAAACCGAGUCUUAACUGGGCGUUAAGUUGCAGGGUAUAGACCCGAAACCCGGUGAUCUAGCCAUGGGCAGGUUGAAGGUUGGGUAACACUAACUGGAGGACCGAACCGACUAAUGUUGAAAAAUUAGCGGAUGACUUGUGGCUGGGGGUGAAAGGCCAAUCAAACCGGGAGAUAGCUGGUUCUCCCCGAAAGCUAUUUAGGUAGCGCCUCGUGAAUUCAUCUUCGGGGGUAGAGCACUGUUUCGGCUAGGGGGUCAUCCCGACUUACCAACCCGAUGCAAACUGCGAAUACCGAAGAAUGUUAUCACGGGAGACACACGGCGGGUGCUAACGUCCGUCGUGAAGAGGGAAACAACCCAGACCGCCAGCUAAGGUCCCAAAGUCAUGGUUAAGUGGGAAACGAUGUGGGAAGGCUCAGACAGCCAGGAUGUUGGCUUAGAAGCAGCCAUCAUUUAAAGAAAGCGUAAUAGCUCACUGGUCGAGUCGGCCUGCGCGGAAGAUGUAACGGGGCUAAACCAU
rnacentral:rRNA from 1 species